rnacentral:rRNA from 4 species
GGGAUUGCCCCAGUAACGGCGAGUGAAGCGGCAACAGCUCAAAUUUGAAAUCUGGAGUCCUUGGUGGCUUCCGAGUUGUAAUUUGCAGAGGGAGCCUCGGAGGGCUGGUCGGUCCAAGUGCCUUGGAACAGGAUACCGCAGAGGGUGAGAGUCCCGUAUCCGGCCGACGCAGUGCUCCGUGUGAGGCCUCUUCGACGAGUCGAGUUGUUUGGGAAUGCAGCUCUAAGUGGGUGGUAAAUUCCAUCUAAAGCUAAAUACUGGCCAGAGACCGAUAGCGAACAAGUAGAGUGAUCGAAAGAUGAAAAGCACUUUGAAAAGAGAGUUAAACAGUACGUGAAAUUGUUGAAAGGGAAGCGCAUGGGGGCAGACUUGGGCGCGGGGUUCAGGGUCUCUUUUUUGGAGGCGUGUACUUCCCCGCGGACAGGCCAGCAUCGGUUCUGGGGGCCGGACAAAGGCGAUGGGAACGUGGCUCUCUUCGGGGAGUGUUAUAGCCCGACGUGCAAUGCGGCCACCUGGGACCGAGGACCGCGCUUCGGCAAGGAUGCUGGCGUAAUGGCCUCAUGCGGCCCGUCUUGAAACACGGACCAAGGAGUCUAACAUCUAUGCGAGUGUUUGGGUGGCAAGCCCGGACGCGCAAUGAAAGUGAACGGAGGUGGGAGCCCUUUCCGGCGCGGAGGGGGUGCAGCAUCGACCGAUCCGGACGUUUUCUGAAGGAUUUGAGUAAGAGCAUAGCUGUUGGGACCCGAAAGAUGGUGAACUAUGCGUGAAUAGGGUGAAGCCAGAGGAAACUCUGGUGGAGGCUCGCAGCGG